AUGGGCUCCGAACCCCGAUCCAGGCCCAGGGGUGAGCUCCAGACCCUUGGGGGAGGAGGCGCGGGCCGCAAAGGAAAAGCUGGAUGGAGGCCCCAGGAUGCGUGCAGGGCGGCAAAAACUACUGAGCUAAAUCCCCGGCAGAGGGCAUCUUCACUGAGACCGCGUUACCACGCUUUGAAGGAAGGAGAAAAAUUUGACCUUGCUUACUAUAGACAGAAGCCGGAUUCCCCAGCGACUGUUGGUAAGCCAUACGGGUAUGAUGAAAGGCAGCAGGAAGCUCUGCAGGAGAGAGGCAGAGUCAGCUCGGCCUCCCCUUCUGCCUGCGCACCCCCAGCCCAGGCAGGGAGCGCCCGCCCAAGAGGCACCUGCAGUUCGUGGUUGAGGCAGCCACAGACGUGGGAGGAGAGGCCCAGCGUGUCCAAGGCCGUGCGGGCGAACUCGUCGGCACUCUUCACCAGCAGCCCGAGCUGCUACCCCAGCCACAUCCUUUGAGCCCUCCACCCGCCCCCAGUCGGGCACCUGGAUGGUGACACCGUGAGGGGAGUACUCUGCGCCCACAGCCUCGGAGAAGUACUGCACAAAGGUCUGCAGAGGAAGGAGAGGAGGUCCCGGGAGUGAGGCCCUGACCCCCGGGCCAGGUACUGUUGUUCCCCUUGUCCCACCCCCAUUCAGCACUUUCCCACCAUGAGCUCCCAGCCAGGACACAGGGAGAGGGAGGACUCUGGCUCAGCAGGGCGCCCCCCGGAGUCUGGGGGUCCGGGUACCUUAGUGGCUGAGUAUAAGGCAGUAGACAGGAUGCCCCUUUCAGAGACUAAGGAGGACACGUUGAUGAUGACGCCCCUGCCCCUGGCAGAGCAAACCGUGUUAGAAGGUGGUCACUGCCCAGGGGGAUAAAGGGGCGGGGUGGGAGUCCCCACCCACCCUUAGCCGGAGCCCUAAUCUGAAAGGCCUGGGGAGAGUGGGGACUGGGACCUGGCAUGGUAGUGCAUGCCCAUAAUCCCAGGAGCCCGGAGGCUGAGUCAGGAGGGUCACGAGUUGGAGGUCAGUUCAGGCUGACACACACACAAAAAGACUUGGAAGCGGGGCGGGGCUGGAGAAAGGGGAAAGCCUGGAGGCUGGGGGCAUCGAUGACAGAGCGGCUGAGGG
rnacentral:lncRNA from 1 species